rnacentral:sRNA from 1 species
UCGCGUGGUAUUUCUGCCUCGGGGGAGUC